UUCCUGUUUGGACGAAAACAUAUUGGCUGGUAACAGGAACAGAGUUUCUGAAGAGCACUGCAGAGAGAGCUGCUGGAGAAGAACAGCUGUUGGUGGGAAGAUGGAUUACCAGAAGAACAGAAACAGAAGACGUAAGAGGAAAGAAAGAAUAAGAACUGAUCCUUUAACAGAGGUGAAGAAAAUCAUCCAGGAAGAACUGAUAUACCCCUCAGAGAACUGUACAGACAGAGAGAAAGAAACUGAUGAGUGUGAUGUGAGGAGAGAGAGAGAGAGCAGUGAAACAAUGAAAAGACGCAGUCUUGAUCACUUCACUCAUUUCUGAGGUUUCCACCAAAGUUCAAGCAGCUCAGAUGAAGAAAGCUGGAAGAUUAAUGGUUUAAUCUGACUGAGUUUGAGAAAACCUGAUAGUUUCUGUUCAGACUGGACUCAUAUUUGAUUUAGUAGAAGGUGUUUGAGUUGAACUCUUUAUUUUAAUGAAGAUUUCAUCACUAAUAUCAGCCUUGCUGAGUCACAGAUGCAGCACCUGUUACUCAGAGAGAUGAUUUAUUUCUGUUAAAAAUACACUGU